UCAUACGCCGCUUCGAAGGUCAGUUUCACUUUUUCAUGGUCCCGCAGCAGCGUCAAAAACAGGUGGUGGGGCUAGGAUAGUGAGCACGUCAAGCACAUUUGCACUUCAGCACUUCUACAGGACACUGCGCAGUUUGGAGCAGAGCGGGCUCGAAGGAAAGAAUAUCUUUGUGAUACGAAAGGCCUGAAAAUGACACUGCUGCUGUGGACUUUUGUGGGAAGCCUCUUCUUAGUUUGCGCAUCGAACAUAAUCGCCGAAGUGCGAGGGAUGACAACACCGGGAUCUCGGCCAGCAAGAGAGCGCGAUCUUAUGGGUGACUUUUAUGGCUGCGGUAACGUCUCACAGGGGUGCUUCGACAACAGUCAAUGCUGCGAGCACCUGCAUUGUUACAACAUGCGGUGUACCCCUUGGAUCCAUCGAUGAAAAAUCCGGGGUAAACCACCGAGGGCCGCUCAGAAAGUGGGGCUACCGCUGGGCGAAAAACAAUUGGGGAUACCUUCCCAACUAACCGGAAAAUGGCUUACAAUCUUGUCGACACCACAGGCCACUUGCCCUUUCUUCAUGCCCGAUAGUUAUAUGCUACAGUGGGUACGCCCGGAAUAAAAGUUUUUAAAGUGUC